rnacentral:tRNA from 1 species
UAGCUCAGUAGUAGAGUGCUUGCCUCACAUGCAUGAGAGCUGGGGUUUGAUUCCUCA